AUUGAACGCUGGCGGCAGGCCUAACACAUGCAAGUCGAGCGCGCGGCGGACGGGUGAGUAAUGUAUGGGGACCGCCCGAUAUAGAGGGAUCAAUACGGGAAACGGUAGCUAAAACCGCAUAACAUCGGAUAACCCAUAUGGGAUUAGCUGGUAGGUGAGGUAAUGACGCACCUAGGCGACGAUCCCUAGCAGUUCUGAGAGGAGGAUCAGCCACACUGGGACUGAGACACGGCCCAGACUCCUACGGAGGCAGCAGUGGGGAAUCUUGCACAAUGGGCGCAAGCCUGAUGCAGCCAUGCCGCGUGUAUGAAGAAGGCCCUCGGGUUGUAAAGUACUUUCAGUCGGGAGGCGUUACCGACCGAAGAAGCAACGGCUAACUCCGUGCCAGCAGCCGCGGUAAUUC
rnacentral:rRNA from 1 species